rnacentral:rRNA from 1 species
GAUGAACGCUAGCGAUAGGCUUAACACAUGCAAGUCGAGGGGCAGCACAAGGUAGCUUGCUAUCUGGGUGGCGACCGGCGCACGGGUGCGUAACGCGUAUGCAACUUGCCCUAUACAGGAGGAUAACCCGUCGAAAGACGGACUAAUACUGCGUAUGCUCACAACUUGGCAUCAAGUGGUGAGGAAAGAAAUUCGGUAUAGGAUAGGCAUGCGUCCCAUUAGCUUGUUGGUGAGGUAACGGCUCACCAAGGCAACGAUGGGUAGGGGAACUGAGAGGUUUAUCCCCCACACUGGUACUGAGACACGGACCAGACUCCUACGGGAGGCAGCAGUGAGGAAUAUUGGUCAAUGGGCGCGAGCCUGAACCAGCCAAGUCGCGUGAAGGAUGACUGUCUUAUGGAUUGUAAACUUCUUUUAUACGGGAAUAACAAGAGUCACGUGUGACUCCCUGCAUGUACCGGAUGAAUAAGCAGCGGCUAACUCCGUG